GAGGAGCUGUGUUGGAAUAAAGUCACGAGCGAGCCGGUGGGCCGCUGGCAACGCUAAGAGGGACUAGGCAGGUACCGGCAUCUAGCUAUCGGUCUGUUACUCGAGUGCUGGUAGAUCUCACUGGUAAUGUUGUGUUUCCACUCCAAGCUUUCCAUUUUGAUGGAGUUUGUAAAAAGAAAAGACGAUAAAAUUUUACAAACUUAGGAGUCUGUAAAAAGAAAAGACGAUAAAAUUUUUCAUAUUAAACGUUUCAGGCAUCUUCAGAAAUACCUGAGAACUGUGUUUUAUUGGGCUACAGUAAAACGCUGAUCGCCACAAGAAGUACACUUUGUGCUUACAUAGUGAGAAGCACCUGGGUUUGGUUUCAAGGAUACAUUGCCUCCCUCCCUUGCAAAGUUCUCCGGAGUUAGUCAGAUGGCUGCCGACAACCUGCACCGUGCAAAUGCUCUCAUGGUUCUGCCUGCACAGGAUGGUUGUGAGGUGUUCCUGUCCCAAGGACAUCUGAAAACUGCCACAUGCCAAGUCUGCAGCUAAAAUGUUUCAUCCCCUCUUAUAUCUCAGUCAUGACUGAUGGUAAAAAUUCAACAAACUAGAGCCAUGGAACAGUGUGACUGUUUAAAGAUUUCAAGGUGUGUGAAUUUAAAGGACAACAGCCCAUUUCAAACAACUCCAUGUAUGGACAUUCACAUAUAAAAGUAAGUGAGGGGGUUUAUUCUGGAUUAGAUUGUUUCACUUGCAAAAUGUAUCUUAUUCAUAAGAGUUCC
rnacentral:lncRNA from 1 species